rnacentral:rRNA from 1 species
AUUGAACGCUGGCGGCAUGCCUUACACAUGCAAGUCGAACGGUAACAGGUCUUCGGAUGCUGACGAAUGGCGAACGGGUGAGUAAUACAUCGGAACGUGCCCGAGAGUGGGGGAUAACGAAGCGAAAGCUUUGCUAAUACCGCAUACGAUCUCAGGAUGAAAGCAGGGGACCGCAAGGCCUUGCGCUCACGGAGCGGCCGAUGGCAGAUUAGGUAGUUGGUGGGAUAAAAGCUUACCAAGCCGACGAUCUGUAGCUGGUCUGAGAGGACGACCAGCCACACUGGGACUGAGACACGGCCCAGACUCCUACGGGAGGCAGCAGUGGGGAAUUUGGACAAUGGGCGCAAGCCUGAUCCAGCCAUGCCGCGUGCAGGGAUGAAGGCCUUCGGGUUGUAAACUGCUUUGUACGGUAACGAAAAGACUCUGGUUAAUACCUGGGGUCCAUGACGGUACCGUAAGAAUAAGCACCGGCUAACUACGUGCCAGCAGCCCGG